rnacentral:piRNA from 1 species
GAAUGGAGAUGAUCUAUCCUAUGAGGUCC